GACGAACGCUGGCGGCGUGCUUAACACAUGCAAGUCGAACGGUAAGGCCCUUCGGGGUACACGAGUGGCGAACGGGUGAGUAACACGUGGGUGAUCUGCCCUGCACUUCGGGAUAAGCCUGGGAAACUGGGUCUAAUACCGGAUAGGACCACUGCCUGCAUGGGGGGUGGUGGAAAGCUUUUGCGGUGUGGGAUGGGCCCGCGGCCUAUCAGCUUGUUGGUGGGGUGAUGGCCUACCAAGGCGACGACGGGUAGCCGGCCUGAGAGGGUGACCGGCCACACUGGGACUGAGAUACGGCCCAGACUCCUACGGGAGGCAGCAGUGGGGAAUAUUGCACAAUGGGCGCAAGCCUGAUGCAGCGACGCCGCGUGAGGGAUGACGGCCUUCGGGUUGUAAACCUCUUUCAGCACCGACGAAGCGCAAGUGACGGUAGGUGCAGAAGAAGGACCGGCCAACUACGUGCCAGCCGCCGCAGUAAGAC
rnacentral:rRNA from 1 species